CUAAGCUGACAUUUCCUAUUCUGUCUGUGGUGAUAAGGAGGAGGCUGCUGGAAAGUGAUCUGUACAGCAUUACAGUGAAAGGCAGCAGCAGAGAACGGUGCUGGAGCAAAAGUGUCAGCACCGAGUGAUUGAACAACCUAAUGUCAGAGUGGCGUGCGGCACCUUGUGUCCAGUUUUCUUACAGGAGGAUGGCAAUACAAUGGGUAUUGGUGGACUAUUUAUGAGCUCGGAUUCCAGGCAGGGAUCUGCUCAUUCUCCUUCAACAUCAACAAGGCAUUUUCGUCCACACAAGUGUCGCUCACUGGAUAUUUUCUCUGUAAACCCUAGAGACGGUUGUGUGUGAAAAUCCCAGUAGAUCAGCAGUUCCUGAAAUACUCAGACCAGCCUGUCUUGCACCAACAACCAUUACACAUUAAAAAUUACUUAAAUACCCUUUGUUCCCCUUUUUUUUUUUACUUGAGCAAGUUGUCUGGACAACAUGUACAUGCCAAAAUGCAUUGAGUUGCUGCCAUGUGAUUAUCUGAUUACCUAUUCGUGUUAACAAGCAAUUGAACAGGUGUAACUAAUAAAUGGACAGUGGGGGAGAUUUAUCAAAACUUGUGUAGAGGAAGAAGAGUGGUGAAGUAAAUUCAAAUGGAUUUCUUGGCAUUUCCACUGAAAGGUGUGUUAUGUACAAACGUGACCAUAUACAACUUGGGCAAAUGUACAAAGAUCACAGAGAAGCCCAACUUACGAUGUCAUAAUAAUGUCUAAUAAUUAAUGCGGCACAAAUAUUACUGCUACAAUGUGUCAUAUGUCGUAUUUUAAGAAAAUAAUAAAAAGGAAAAAGAAAAUGAAGAUAAACAAAAACACCUGCACAAACAUCAUUACCAAAAACCACAUUUAUUAUGUUCUUAGCAACCUAAUAAAAUAAAAUACAACCAUCUGACAAAUUUUGGCUCAGAAAAGACUGCUGAUCUCAAACAGUGUCACAGUUAAAUGCAGAGUCAAAGUUGUAGCAUUUUUUUUUUUUAAACCUCCUGUAAAUAUUUUUCCAUCAAAAAGCCACUUAAAAAGGUAUGGCCGCCAGUUUUUUUUUUUGUUUAUUUAUUUUAUUUU